rnacentral:ribozyme from 1 species
UGCCCAGCAACUCCUAUCCCUACCUCCUCGCGGUACCGACCGGAAACUAUGAGCAACCUUAGGGAAGAUCGGGUAACCAACCCUGGUGGGAACUUUGGUCGUAGGCUGACAGGGAAGG